UGAUAGAGAAUACUCAUGACUUACAGC
rnacentral:piRNA from 1 species